GCGGGGGUGCCCGAGCUGGACAAAGGGGGCGGACUUAAGAUCCGCUGGCGUAGGCCUGCGUGGGUUCAAAUCCCACCCCCCGCACCA
rnacentral:tRNA from 2 species